CGCACUUACCCAAUCCCGACACGGGGAGGUAGUGACGAAAAAUAACGUGGCGGGGCCCUUUCGUGGUCGCCGCGGGCGGAAUGAGCGCAAUUUAAAAGAGUGUGCGAGGAGCUAUUGGAGGGCAAGCCUGGUGCCAGCAGCCGCGGUAAUUCCAGCUCCAAUAGCCUAUAUCGGAGUUGCUGCGGUUAAAAAGCUCGUCGUUGGAUCUCGGAGGCGGCACGGUCGGGCGCGAUACGCUGCGGGUCCGACCGGCGAUUUCUCGGCCGUCCCUAACCAGCGCGCGGGGCGAGGUGGACUUCGCGGUCCUGCCUCGUUUUUCUCCUUCACGGGAGAGAACCCGCCGCAUUUUCUGUCUACCUUGAAAAAAUUAGAGUGCUAAAGGCAGGCUAAAACCCCGAGCCUGAAUAUUUCGUGCAUGGAAUAAGCGGGGAUGCUCUUUUCCGGAGGGCGGUCCGACCGACUGGCGACGUCGCUUUCGCUGUCGGUUUCGCCGGAGAGCUAGGAUUCGAGAGGAACGGUGGGGGGCGAGCGUACCGGGCGGGGAGAGGUGAAAUUUUGUGAUCCGCUCGGGACGACUCGAAGCGAAAGCGCUGGCCCCGGACGUCUUCCUUAAUCCAGAACGAAGGUGGGUGGAGCAAAGACGAUCAGAUACCGUCGUAGUACCGACGGUAAACGCUGCCGACCGGGCCGCGGACGAGGCUCGAGAACAGCGGUUAUGGACCCGUCCGUGGCGGCUUCGGGCAACCUGAGAGUUUACGGGUUCCGGGGGUAGUAUGGUCGCAAGGCUGANACUUGAAGGAAUUGACGGAAGGGCACCACAAGGAGUGGAGCCUGCGGCUUAAUUUGACUCAACACGGGGCAACUUACCCGGUCCGGACAUCGUCAGGAUUGACAGACGCUCGUGCAGUUCUUUCUCGAUUCGAUGGGUGGUGGUGCAUGGCCGUUCGUGGCUGGUGAAGUGAAAAGUCUGGUUUAUUCCGCUAACGGGCGAGGCCUCGCCCUUAACUAGUCGGCUCGUGGUUCUCGAAUCGUAGUCUCCCUUCGGGGAGCAGGGAGAACAUCGGGCGAGUCGCAGCGAUCGUCGCUACUUCUUAGGGGGAUCCCGAGCAAGCUUAAGCUAGGUGAGAGAGAUCAAUAACAGGUCAGUGAUGCCCUUAGAUGUCCGGGGCCGCACGCGCGCUACACUGAAGACGAAAGCGCGAGUGCCUACGGUCUUGGUUUGGUCAGGCCGGGAACCCGCCCCGAGAGGGGAGGUUGGGGCUGUUCCUUCACGGGGGCAGUCUCGCCUACUGCGGGUUAACCGUGCCAAUCGUCUUCGUGCUGGGGAUCGGGN
rnacentral:ncRNA from 1 species